AGUCGAACGGCAGCACGAGGGCAACCCUGGUGGCGAGUGGCGAACGGGUGAGUAAUAUAUCGGAACGUACCCAGUAGUGGGGGAUAACUAUCCGAAAGGAUAGCUAAUACCGCAUACGAUCUGUGGAUGAAAGCAGGGGAUCUUCGGACCUUGUGCUAUUGGAAUGGCCGAUAUCUGAUUAGCUAGUUGGUAGGGUAAAAGCCUACCAAGGCGACGAUCAGUAGCUGGUCUGAGAGGACGACCAGCCACACUGGAACUGAGACACGGUCCAGACUCCUACGGGAGGCAGCAGUGGGGAAUUUUGGACAAUGGGGGCAACCCUGAUCCAGCAAUGCCGCGUGAGUGAAGAAGGCCCUCGGGUUGUAAAGCUCUUUUGUCAGGGAAGAAACGGUGAUCUCUAAUAUAGAUUGCUAAUGACGGUACCUGAAGAAUAAGCACCGGCUAACUACGUGCCAGCAGCCGCGGUAAUACGUAGGGUGCAAGCGUUAAUCGGAAUUACUGGGCGUAAAGCGUGCGCAGGCGGUUUUGUAAGUCUGAUGUGAAAUCCCCGGGCUC
rnacentral:rRNA from 1 species